rnacentral:rRNA from 1 species
ACGACGCUGGCGGCGUGCCUAAUACAUGCAAGUCGAACGGCUUUUCUAUGGAAGCUUGCUUCCACUGAGAAGAUAGUGGCGAACGGGUGAGUAACACGUGGGUAACCUGCCCAUAAGAGGGGGGAUAACAUCCGGAAACGGGUGCUAAUACCGCAUAGUCUUCUUGAUCGCAUGAUCGGGAAAGGAAAGACGGCCUUUGUGCUGUCGCUUAUGGAUGGACCCGCGGCGUAUUAGUUAGUUGGUGAGGUAACGGCUCACCAAGACGAUGAUACGUAGCCGACCUGAGAGGGUGAUCGGCCACAUUGGGACUGAGACACGGCCCAAACUCCUACGGGAGGCAGCAGUAGGGAAUCUUCCGCAAUGGACGAAAGUCUGACGGAGCAACGCCGCGUGAGUGAAAGAAGGUUUUCGGAUCGUAAAACUCUGUUGUCAGAGAAGAACAAGUUGGAGAGUAACUGCUCCAGCCUUGACGGUAUCUGACCAGAAAGCCACGGCUAACUACGUGCCAGCCGCCGC